rnacentral:rRNA from 1 species
UGCCAGCCGCCGCGGUAACACGGGGGGCGCAAGCGUUAUACGGAUUUACUGGGUGUAAAGGGUGCGCAGGCGGACAAGUCAGUCAGGGGUGAAAUCCCGCAGCUCAACUGCGGAACUGCCUUUGAUACUGCUUGUCUUGAGUACGGGAGAGGCUGAUGGAAUUCUUGGUGUAGCGGUGAAAUGCGUAGAUAUCAGGAAGAACACCAGUAGCGAAGGCGGUCAGCUGGUCCGUAACUGACGCUCAUGCACGAAAGCGUGGGUAGCGAACAGGAUUAGAUA